rnacentral:rRNA from 1 species
UACAGAGGUCCCAAGCGUUACUGAGAAUCACUGGGUUAAAGGGUGCGUAGGUGGUCCGUUAAGUCAGUUGUGAAAUCCCGGGCUCAACCCGGGAAAUGCUUCUGAUACUGGCGGACUUGAGGCCAGUAGGGUCACUAGAACUGACGGUGGAGCGGUGAAAUGCGUAGAUAUCGUCAGGAAUGCCGGUGGUGAAGACGGGUGACUGGGCUGGUUCUGACA